CCCCCUGCCCCUCCUCUCCACCGACCGGCUCCUCCUAGCACCCGGCCACCACGUCGCCACCAGCCACCUCCUCCACCUCCGGCCGGACGCGUCGAGGUGGGUCUCUCCCGGCCAUGGGGUCGGCGAGGAAGGCCUCGGUGACGCCGAGGAUGGGGUCCUUUGGCGCCGGCUCACCAGGGAGGCCGUCGUCCUGGCCCAGUCCUCCACCGUCUCCGUCUGCCUCUCCAACGCCACCACCGGCCGGCCCUUCAUAUCGACGCUCGAGCUCAGGCCGCUCAACGGCUCGCUCUACCGCACUGACGGCGAGGCCCGCGCAUUCCUCGCCCUCGCCGCCCGCAUCAACUCCGGCGCCCCCUUGCCAGAUCCGGCGACGAGGCCGAGGCGUCGAGCUCCUGUGAAAAGAGAGGGAGGCGAUGCUGGGCGCGGCAAGCGGAGCCCCGUCCUCCUUUGUCCUUUCCCAUCGAGCGCCAAACGCUCGAGGUCGACAAGGCCAUCAUGAUUUGCUGUCCCCUUUGAGUUCCGUGCGCUCGAGUUUGCGCUCGAGGCCGUUUGCUCCUUGCUUGUAUGCCUAGGAAGGGGAGAUGAAAUGCUAAGGGGAGAUGAAAUGCUAAGGUUAGUAAUGCCCAAGAGGAGAGAUAACCUUAAGUUGCUUUAUGCAAUUGAGAGAUGCGUUUCCGGCAUCAUGCAAGCUAUCAGACACUUCAACCUCUGGUUCAGGUUCACUAUUCAUCAAUUUUAGUGUUAUGUAUUGCUAUUUGCAUUUUAAGUUAAUGAAUCGGAAAACUCCAUUUUUUGUUAGGACAGAAGCCUUGGUUUGUUAGGAAUCAGAUACAAUGAUACAUGAUUAUUCUUGGGCAUCUUAUUUCAAAAUAUAUUUUUGGGGAUUUUUUAAAGGUUGUGGAUAACAAGCCGGUAAGAGCUGAUGUUUCAGUUAGGAACUGCAUUUUCUUGACCUGUUACCCUGUUAGGUAAAUUAUCAUGGUACUUUCCUGAUGCGAUUUAAAAAGUUUAUCAUUCUGGUGAGCCUAUGAGACUGGAACACUGGGUUCAUGUUGAGGAAUUAAAUUGCUUGCUGAUUAAUUUGCCCAUGCUAUUCACAUGAAACAGGAUCAAGGCUCAUGAAAGUAGAAGUGUGGUAGAACCUGCAACUACUGGAUCAAACGAUUCAACAGCUGCUAGAUCUAUUGAGAAAGAGGCAGAUGUUUCCACAUCUGCUUCACAAGCUCUCGAGAAUGCUCAACCAGCGCCAAUCACUGACGAGCACUAUAAGAGGAGUAAUGAUGCACUUGCUGCUGCUAGAGAACGAGCACUGGCUCGUAAGAGAGCGAAGGAGCAGCAAAUAUGAAGUAAGAUGCAGAUAUAAUGGUAACGUGCCAAAGCUCAGGGCUGUGUAAUACACUUGACCUUUGUUUUCACCCUGCAGCAUUUUCAGUUGAUGAUGCACGUAUCUCUCUUGCAUAAAUAUAAUCCUCUGGCUGUUGUGUGAUGAUUGAGCUUCUAUGGUCAAAAUAUUUGUAUAUCGACAUUCAGCUUCUAUGACCAUUCUGCUAUGCAUAAUCAGGAGAUGCGAGGUUAAUGGAGCCCAUUGUAUUUACUGAAUAUUUGUGCUCCCAAAAAAGAGAAAUACCUUGGCACAGUCAGGCUGAUGGCAACCUGUACCCUUUGGUGUGUUCCAUUGUAAUCUGUAGCUGAUGGAGGUUAUAACAUCAUUUAUGUAAUGACGACUCCAGCUGGUAGUUACUAUAUUUACUGGUGCGUGUUGAAUCAGAGACUUUGAAAUGAUGCAUGCCUUUCUCAAAUAAAAAAAGAUGUAUGCAGAUUUUUGA